UAGGGAAUCUUCCGCAAUGGACGAAAGUCUGACGGAGCAACGCCGCGUGAGUGAAGAAGGAUUUCGGUUCGUAAAACUCUGUUGUUAGGGAAGAAAAAAUGUAUAGUAACUAUAUACAAAAGAGACGGUACCUAACCAGAAAGCCACGGCUAACUACGUGCCAGCAGCCGCGGUAAUACGUAGGUGGCAAGCGUUGUCCGGAAUUAUUGGGCGUAAAGCGCGCGCAGGUGGUUUAGAAAGUCUGAUGUGAAAGCCCACGGCUCAACCGUGGAGGGUCAUUGGAAACUAAUAAACUUGAGUGCAGGAGAGAAAAGUGGAAUUCCUAGUGUAGCGGUGAAAUGCGUAGAGAUUAGGAGGAACACCGGUGGCGAGAGCGGCUUUUUGGCCUGCAACUGACACUGAGGCGCGAAAGCGUGGGGAGCAAACAGG
rnacentral:rRNA from 1 species